rnacentral:rRNA from 1 species
CAGAGGGUGUAAACGUUGUUCGGAAUUACUGGGCGUAAAGCGCGUGUAGGCGGCAGCGUGUGUCGGGCGUGAAAUCCCACGGUUCAACCGUGGAAGUGCACUCGAAACUGCGCAGCUAGAGUUCUGGAGAGGAAGGUGGAAUGCUUGGUGUAGAGGUGAAAUUCGUAGAUAUCAAGCGGAACACCGGUGGCGAAGGCGGCCUUCUGGACAGUGACUGACGCUGAGACGCGAAAGCGUGGGGAGCAAACAGGAUUAGAUACCCUGGUAGUCCACGCCGUAAACGAUGAGUGCUAAAUGUCACGGGCUUUGACCCUCGUGGUGCCGAAGCUAACGCGUUAAGCACUCCGCCUGGGGAGUACGACCACAAGGCUA